rnacentral:rRNA from 1 species
AUUGAACGCUGGCGGCAGGCCUAACACAUGCAAGUCGAGCGAGCGGCGGACGGGUGCGUAAUGUAUGGGGACUGCCCGAUAGAGGGGGAUAACUACUGGAAACGGUGGCUAAUACCUCAUACUAUCGGCUAACCCACAUGGGAUUAGCUAGUAGGUGGGGUAAAGGCUCACCUAGGCGACGAUCUCUAGCUGGUCUGAGAGGAUGAUGGGCCACAAUGGGACUGCGACACGGCCAAGACUCGUACGGAGGAAGCAGUGGGGAAUAUUGCAGAAGGGGCGAAAUGCUGAGGCAGACAGGCCGCGUGUAGGAAGAAGGCUUUAGGGGUGUAAAGUACUUUCAGCAGGGAGGCGUUACCUACAGAGGAAGCACCGGCUAACUCCGUGCCAGCAGCCGCGGUAAUAC